GCUCAGGAAUGUGAAAAAAAGACCCCAAACCCACACCCAGCAGAUCCCCCCCCGGCGAAACCUACAGGAGAACGGGAAAAUGGGAUCACUGUCUGCGCUCCGGCCAAAAAUCCAAGCUGACUUGGAGAAGUCAAGACACUCUGGAUCGGGGAAUUGGGAAACCUUGGCUCAUUGGUUAUUUUUUUCUGUGUUUUGCAGAUCUUUGUGUCAGUGGUUUUUCUGUGUUUUGCAGCGUUUUGCCAUCUUUUGAGGCACGAGGACGUCCAACCUUGGGGGUCUUCGGUACCGCGGAGCUGCGAAGACCCAGAAGCGCCAUCAUCCCACCCAAAAAAAAAAAAGGCACGAGGAGAUGACAGAACCCACCUCGGGGUAUGACACCAUCAUCAUGGAAUAGUUCGGGUUGGAACAUGCACAAAUGGGAAAAAUGCAAAGGAAAAAAAAAAAAAAGGAAAUUAUGGGGGGGGACAAAAAAAAAAAAAGACACAAAGAUAUGGCAGGAGUCAUCUCAACCGCACGGGCAGAAGAUCCAACCUCAAGCCCGAAGCCCCGGAGCCAUUCCUGGCAGAGAGAUACCCGUAAAUUCCCGUGGCGUCAUCUGCAGAGCGCAGUCGAUCACCAUAAAGGAGAGCUUUAAACCGCCUUACAGAUGUCAAAGGAUUAAACUUCAGGCUGGUGAAGUAUUGUGAAGACCUGGGUAUUAUUUUUGCUUCUCCGUUUGUCGUUCAAUAUCGUCAGACAGAGCACAGCUCUGUGGGUCCGACUGUCCUCUGCCAUUAACGAGGCUCGAGCCUGUUGCAUGCAAGUUUUCAGGAUGAGGCCUGGGAAUACCUUAUAAGCUGAAGAUGAGCAAACUUUAAAUAUUUGCUGUCAGACUCCAGAAGCAAGCUUGCUGCCUUGCGGUUUUACCUUAACGGGGCUCUGAACGGACACAAACCUCUGCGCUACGUGGACCAGGGUAUUGCAUCAAGGAGCUGAGUCCUUACACCUGCCUGCCACGUACCAACCUCUACGGUGAGUCACUCCAUUAACUGAAAAAUUCUGUGUGUGUGAAAAACGUAGGUUCCGUGGCUCAGUUAUGUGCUGUAAAUAAAUCCCGUAGCUACAUUUCGCAGCUAAACUAAAGCCUUUGUCAUCCUUCAGUCAUCACACCUAUUGCACCGUCAAAACUGCUGCAAAGGUUAACGACGCAUCUCUUGGAAGCACAAACUGAAUAUUCAGCUGCUUUAAUGUGCAGUUGU